UGGACGAUUGCAAAAUUCUCGCGAGAGGAUUGCUUUUUCAGCUCGUAGAGGGUCAGGGCAGUCACCCGCUCCUGAAG
rnacentral:SRP_RNA from 1 species